rnacentral:rRNA from 1 species
GACGAACCGUGCGAACGUUGUUCGGAAUCACUGGGCUUAAAGGGCGCGUAGGCGGGUCGGCCAGUCUGUGGUGAAAUCCCCCGGCUUAACCGGGGAACGGCCGCGGAUACUGCCGACCUCGAGGGGGGUAGGGGCGUGCGGAACACUAGGUGGAGCGGUGAAAUGCGUUGAUAUCUAGUGGAACUCCGGUGGCGAAAGCGGCGCGCUGGACCCCUUCUGACGCUGAGGCGCGAAAGCCAGGGGAGCGAACGGG